rnacentral:tRNA from 1 species
AAGGUUUUAAGUUAAUUCAAACUAAUAGUCUUCAAAAUUAUUUAUAAAGAUACCUUCUUUAAGCCUUA